rnacentral:rRNA from 1 species
UGGGGAGUGACGUCAAGUACAGCAUGGCCGUUUACUUAUCCUGGGCUACACACACGCUACAAUGGGAAGGGACAAUAGGUUGCGAAGCCGCGAGGCGGAGCCAAUCCAGCAAAACUUCCCUCAGUUCAGAUUGCAGGCUGCAACUCGCCUGCAUGAAGUUGGAGUUGCUAGUAAUCGCGGAUCAGCAUGCCGCGGUGAAUACGUUCCCGGGCCUU